CGAGGCGCGGCGCGGCGCGGCUCCGGAAUCCGACUGCCGACGCCUGGGGCGGGCGCCGUCCGCCGUCGGCGGCGCCACCAGUCUCAGGGCACCAGCGCGCCACCUGCGAGUCAGACCGACGCAUCCCGACAAAUGGCACCAACCUGUGAAGCAGUUGUAAACGCGGCUGAACUUGGAAAUCACUUGAACCGUUCGACCAGAACUACGUAUGCUACUACCUGCUUUCAAUGGGAGGACCUGGGUUGCUUCUCUGACUACUGGAGGCUUGGGUCCGUGUCCGUAGAACCACUGAACACAGGUAGACG